UCUCAAAGAUUAAGCCAUGCAUGUCUAAGUAUAAGCAACUAUACGGUGAAACUGCGAAUGGCUCAUUAAAUCAGUUAUCGUUUAUUUGAUAGUACCUUACUACAUGGAUAACCGUGGUAAUUCUAGAGCUAAUACAUGCUAAAAACCCCGACUUCGGAAGGGGUGUAUUUAUUAGAUAAAAAACCAAUGCCCUUCGGGGCUCCUUGGUGAAUCAUAAUAACUUAACGAAUCGCAUGGCCUUGCGCCGGCGAUGGUUCAUUCAAAUUUCUGCCCUAUCAACUUUCGAUGGUAGGAUAGUGGCCUACCAUGGUAUCAACGGGUAACGGGGAAUUAGGGUUCUAUUCCGGAGAGGGAGCCUGAGAAACGGCUACCACAUCCAAGGAAGGCAGCAGGCGCGCAAAUUACCCAAUCCCGACACGGGGAGGUAGUGACAAUAAAUACUGAUACAGGGCCCUUUUGGGUCUUGUAAUUGGAAUGAGUACAAUUUAAAUCCCUUAACGAGGAACAAUUGGAGGGCAAGUCUGGUGCCAGCAGCCGCGGUAAUUCCAGCUCCAAUAGCGUAUAUUAAAGUUGUUGCAGUUAAAAAGCUCGUAGUUGAACCUUGGGCCUGGCUGGCCGGUCCGCCUCACCGCGUGUACUGGUCCGGCCGGGCCUUUCCUUCUGGGGAGCCGCAUGCCCUUCACUGGGCGUGUCGGGGAACCAGGACUUUUACUUUGAAAAAAUUAGAGUGUUCAAAGCAGGCCUUUGCUCGAAUACAUUAGCAUGGAAUAAUAGAAUAGGACGUG
rnacentral:rRNA from 1 species